rnacentral:rRNA from 1 species
CCUACGGGUGGCAGCAGUGAGGAAUAUUGGUCAAUGGCCGGGAGGCUGAACCAGCCAAGUCGCGUGAGGGAAGACGGCCCUACGGGUUGUAAACCUCUUUUGGCAGGGAGCAAGGUGCAGGUCGGGACCUGCGGUGAGAGUAUAUGAAGAAAAAGCAGCGGCUAACUCUGUGCCAGCAGCCGCGGUAAUACGGAGGAUGCGAGCGUUAUCCGGAUUUAUUGGGUGUAAAGGGUGCGCAGGCGGAGGCACAAGUCAGCGGUAAAAUCGCGGGGCUCAACCCCGCUACGCGGUUGAAACUGGGGCCCAUGAGUGCGCGCAGGGUAGGCGGAAUGCGUGGUGUAGCGGUGAAAUGCAUAGAGAUCACGAAGAACUCCGAUCGCGAAGGCAGCCUACCGGCGCGCAACUGACGCUCAUGCACGAAAGCGUGGGUAUCGAACAGGAUUAGAUACCCGGGUAGUC